UACAGAGGUCUCAAGCGUUGUUCGGAUUCAUUGGCGUAAAGGGCGCGUAGGCGGUCAGCACAAGUCAGUUGUGAAAUCUCCGGGCUUAACUCGGAAAGGUCAACUGAUACUGUGCGACUAGAGUGCAGAAGGGGCAACUGGAAUUCUCGGUGUAGCGGUGAAAUGCGUAGAUAUCGAGAGGAACACCUGCGGCGAAGGCGGGUUGCUGGGCUGACACUGACGCUGAUGCGCGAAAGCCAGGGGAGCGAACGGG
rnacentral:rRNA from 1 species